AUGGAACCCCUAAGUGAUGUUAACUCUAGAGGCUUGUUUUUCAAAAGGAUAUUUGGCUCUGAAGGCUGUUGUCCAGAUAUGCUCAAGGAAGUUUCAAAUAAAAUCCUAAAAAAGUGUGUAGGCCUACCAUUGGCAAUUGUCACUAUAUCUAGUUUGUUGGCAAACAUAUCAGCUACCAAGGAGGAGUGGGAGAAGGUUAAAAGGUCAUGUGGUUCUGCACUGGAAAAUAACCAGAGUCUAGAAGGAAAGAUAACAUACCAAUCCUAA
rnacentral:rRNA from 1 species